UGUCCAGACUCCUACGGGAGGCAGCAGUGGGGGAUAUUGCACAAUGGGGGGAACCCUGAUGCAGCGACGCCGCGUGGGUGAAGAAGCGCCUCGGCGCGUAAAGCCCUGUCAGCAGGGAAGAAAAUGACGGUACCUGAAGAAGAAGCCACGGCUAACUACGUGCCAGCAGCCGCGGUAAUACGUAGGUGGCAAGCGUUGUCCGGAAUUACUGGGUGUAAAGGGAGCGCAGGCGGGAAGCCAAGUCAGCUGUGAAAACUACGGGCUUAACUUGUAGACUGCAGUUGAAACUGGUUUUCUUGAGUGAAGUAGAGGUUGGCGGAAUUCCGAGUGUAGCGGUGAAAUGCGUAGAUAUUCGGAGGAACACCGGUGGCGAAGGCGGCCAACUGGGCUUUAACUGACGCUGAGGCUCGAAAGUGUGGGGAGCAAACAGGAUUAGAUACCCCCGUA
rnacentral:rRNA from 1 species